rnacentral:antisense_RNA from 1 species
CGGCGCGGGUGGAAUUCCCGCGAUCUGUCUCAUUCCCUGCGCCGCCGAGAAAAGUGAGAUCCCGCGAGACUCCCAGGGGUCUCAUUCUGUCACCCAGGUUGGAGUGCAGUGGCAACAUCAUAGCUCACUGCAGCCUUGAACCCCUGGGCUCAAGUGAUCCUCCUGCUUCAGCCUCCUGAGUAGCUGGGGCUACAGGCACUUUCCCUACAUUUUCAAAGGCCUGCAUCAUCACAUCUGCCGCAGCAUUCUCUAUCAUUGAGACAUUUUCUCAGGAAAUCACCUGUGAAAUAUUUUGCAGCUAACCACCUACCUGUGCCCCACCAGCCAACAUGCUUUACUCCUGCCAGGCAGGUUCUCUGUAGCCCUCUGGAUUCUGUCUGCCUCUGUUAUAUCUUCACGAACAAGUUACGCAGCCUCAACUAAAGCUUGUAACAGAGCAAAGUUACUCUCCUGAGUGUGUCCUCUGAUGGAUGGUGAGAUAUAACUUCAAGAUGAAGCCUCACCCACACUCCCUGUACAAAAACGCUUCUCACCUGUGUCACUCUGGAAGCUUUGAUCAGAAAAUUGUAGUUGCUGUUGCCUCUGAUGUGCAAGUCCAAGAUUCUUGGGCCGCAGGACAUGUUCUGCAUAUAUUCCUGGAGAAUAGACCA